rnacentral:pre_miRNA from 1 species
AAUAGAUGACGCCAUUGACUUUUUUUUCACAUGGUUUGACCAUUCGUCUUAUUCAAAAAAUUUACGUAAUUAUAAUUUAUUUUGUUAUGAGUUGUUUUAUCACUCAUAAUACUUUGUGUGAUUUAUAUCUUAUACAUUUGCUUAAAAUUUUUGAAUAAGACGAAUGGUCAAACCUGUGAGAAAAAGUCGACGAUGUCAUCUAUU